rnacentral:tRNA from 1 species
GGGGCAUAGUUCAACGGUAGAAUAGAGGUCUCCAAAACCUUUGGUGUGGGUUCGAUUCCCAUCACCCGCUCCA